AUACGUAGGGGGCAAGCGUUGUCCGGAUUCACUGGGUGUAAAGGGCGCGUAGGCGGGCUAGCAAGUCAGAGGUGAAAUCUCCCGGCUUAACCGGGAAACUGCCUUUGAAACUGUUAGUCUUGAGUGCGGAAGAGAGAGACGGAAUUCCAGGUGUAGCGGUGAAAUGCGUAGAUAUCUGGAGGAACACCAGUCGCGAAGGCGGUCUCUUGGUCCGUAACUGACGCUCAGGCGCGAAAGCGUGGGUAGCAAACAGGAUUAGAUACCCUGGUAGUCCACGCUGUAAACGAUGAAUACUAGGUGUUGGGUCGAAAGGCUCAGUGCCGCAGCUAACGCAUUAAGUAUUCCACCUGGGGAGUACGAUCGCAAGGUUGAA
rnacentral:rRNA from 1 species